UUGACGCGCACUUGAGCGUGCUUGAGCGGCGCGAUGGCGUCGCCAUACGGAACCGCGCGCGCUCGAAAGAGCGCAGUUUCGCCCGAUCCCGACGAUCCGGCAAGUGAUAUUUUGGACUCAUCGAGCACAGAUGACUCGGACAUCGAUGCUGCGUCGUCGCAGUUCAGCUUAGAUGAGGAAGAUGUAGCCUAUCAGCCGGGAACAUCAGCUGUUACCCGCAGAGUGUCCACUUCAUUUGGGCAAGACUUGCUUCCACCAGCUCAAAGAAGCGUGGAGUUUCGACCCCAGAGAGAUCGGGGCAUUGACCUCGUGAUGACGCUCCGUAGCGGUACGAAGCGGCUAUCGUGAGCGCUCGAUUUUUUUCGCCUUUUCUUUACGGCGGAGGUCAUUCACGCUAUUUGUGCAAAUACCAACAAGUAUGCAUGGAUGCACGUCCUCGGAAAACCGACCUACAGCGAGAAGGAUGGUUCGUGGAAAUGAUGAAGUUCAUCGCCCUACUAUAUGCAUACAUGGGACUGGAACUGCCGCGGCUGCAUUUGUAUUGGAAUACAUCAAAAUUGUUUUCCGGGAUUCUCCCUCCAAGGCGACGUUUCACCGCGCUCCUGGUCAUGCUGCAUAUUUGUGACCCAGAAACUAACAACGACGCUGCCGCACAGAAACUAGACAAGGUGUCCUGGCUUCUUCAGCACAUCAACGACUGCUCCGCGUCAUUGUUCCAGCCGUAUCGCGAAAUUUCAGUGGACGAAAGAGUGGUAAAAUCCAAAGCGUGGUCUGGAAUUCGGCAAUACAUAAGACAAAGUUGUGAAAUGGGGCUACAAAUUAUGGGUUCUUGCGGACCUGAAAACCGGCUACACCAUCCAGUUCAUAGUGUAUACAGGGAAGCGUGAAACUUAGAACGACAGAAAGCUGAGCUAGUUGGUAAGGAUUCAUUAUGCAAGAAAAGGUGAGGCGUGCAGACAGGACACAAGAGAAGAGAAGUGGACAACACGAACGCCGUUCGGCGUUCGUGUUGUUAUAGCACUUAUAGCACCAAGCUCAUCAUGCGUACAAUGUGGAAAAAGUUAACAAACCGCCUAGUUCCACAAUUUAGACUCUUUAAAUGAGCCCACAAAAAAGUAUGAAGGCAUUUAUUAGACAACUGAGAUGUUUUAGUUGAAAUACAUAUAAUUUGAUUCUGUGAGGCAUAAAUUGCUGUAUCAUAUAUGUGUUUCAGCAUGAAGUCAUUGCUUUGUUGAAAAGUGUAGAGAUUUGUUUUCUCACAAAACAGCAAAUUUGGUGGCGAAAUAUAAUGUUUGGACAAGCUAUAGGCUUUCUUAGCACCAUUACUGAAGCAGAAAAGAUAGAAAAUAAACAGUACCAGCAGUGUUUACAAUGAACUGCAGAAGAAUUGAAAAGCAGGUGAGUUGGAACCUACAGUAUUCAUUCUUAAGCAGCGCACAUAGAAAAUGAGAUGCAAGAAAAUUUAUUUGUUUUGAAUUCUGUCUUUAAGGUUGUCCUGUUUCCUUUCUCAUGUUUAGAUUUUUUAUGUGAACUGCCCAAGUUUACAAUGACGAUAGUGUGGAGCUUGCCACAUUCCAAGAGCAGCCACUUGGCAGGUUCUUCUUUUUUUUUUUUUUUGCAUCAACUUCCUGAAGACCAAUUUUAAGCCAAGAUCUAUAAAUAAUCGGGUGUAUAGGUAUACCUCAAUACCUCAAUACCUUCAAUACCUCAAUAAAGGAUGAUUUCAAAUUUGAAUGAAACUUGUAUGAGAUUGAGCUGUUGAAAAGAAAUGCACCACAUUUCUGAAAGCGAUGUGUCAAAUUGCUUCUAAUGGUACUGUUAUUUUUACAAGCUUUCUGCAAUUUGAAUGUCUUUUCAUGGUCACAAAAUGGGCCUGUCGCUGCAUAGUGUAUGGUAUAGACCUUUUUCAUCCGCGAUGUGGCAGCACUACGUUCUUGACCCCAGAGAACUUCUGGUCAGCCAUUUACGAGAGUCAUGUUAGCCAAGAAAAAAGAAGUAUUUUGCCGCAUACUACACUGCCGGCUCAUAUUCUUGAUGUUUUCAGAUUAGAGAAUGUGCGCAAUGCGUCGAACUCAGGUGUGGGCUUUUUUUUUUUUUUUGCACUUAACAAUACAAUUCAUUGUCAAAUACUCCAACUCCCCAACAAAGCUGGUGCCAGCUGGAGGGUCCUGUAAGUUUAUAGGCCAAUGUAACUUCUGUUGCUCCCGAUGGCUUAACCAGAAGUCUUCUGGGAACUCUGUUUGUAAGCAUGGAAAAGGUAAUUUGGGCUCAUAAAUCUGUUAACAAUCCUUUUGUGAGGUUUGUUUAAACAUCUUGCCUGAGCAAAGGUUAUUUGAACUUUCCACAAGCGAAUUUAAAUUCAUGCUGCAAAGAGAGCAACAGCAAAAAAUGCAGUCAUGGAAAAUUGCUAUUACUAUUAUAUUAUAAAAAUUAUUCAAUACUACGCGUACAUUAUUUAAAUAAAGGUGUGCAUAUAAAGAUGCCACUGAAAAGAGUCCAUAAGCAUGUUUGUUUGAUGCCUUAGUGUUGCAUGACAUUGCCUUGCAUUUGGUUAACUUGUAACUUGUCUUCUUUUUAUGUAUUGUUGCGAGACAUGUUGCUGUGCAUUUUGCAGUUCUCUGUCUCUGUCAACUUCUGCAGUGCUGUACCUUUUGUAUCCCACCUUGCUAAAGUCACCAAUUGUUUCUGCCAGAACUGUAAUAAAUGUCGUUUUUGUGUAGUCAUACUGUACUACAGUUCACUGUGUUGCUUUGUGCAAACUGCAUUGUGUAUGUGGUAUGCAUGUUCUAUACAUUUUAUACCACCCUGCACAUGCAGUGCACCAAGCAGCAGCUACCUUGCUGUUUAAGGCUAGAUCAUUUUUUCCUAUAUCACUAUGAGCAUGAGUUGUAUUAUCAGUGGUCAUACUUUCUGCAUUUAUGAUUUUACACACUACAUAAAAAUUAUUUUACUGAUGUGUGCUUCCAUAUUUUGAGCAUCCCAUGCUAAAGCUAGCAUCCAUUGUGAUGGGACAUUUCCAAGCUGCUGUAUCAGUUCUUGUAAAUGGAAACAACUUCUCCCAAUUGGCUUUCAUAUGUUCCCCAUUUAGUUUGGAAGGCUUCCAGUCAUGCUUGGCAUUUUCAGCUUGGAAUGUCUGGUCACACAGCUGGAGUAGAUUCUGUUUCCAGCUGGAAAAUCAUUUCCAGCCAGUCGUGGGGAGGCCCAGUAAAGAAAGAGCUAUUACCACCCAGAAACACAAGUUUCCAGCACGAGUAAAGUCAAUUUCCAGCUGUAAAAUGUGAUUUCUAGCUGUCCAUGGAAAGGUUCCGGCUAGGAAUGCUAUUUCCAGCUGGAAAGCUGGCUGGAAAACUUAGUUUCCGGCCAGAUCUGGUUUUGUUUCUGGCUGGAAAACCUGGUUUCGAGCUGGAAAUGGUAUCCCCAGCUGGAAAUGUGGCUGGAAAACUCAGUUUCCAGCCGGAAAUCCCCUACCUAUUUUCAUGUAGGAGCAUUUUACCUUUAAGACAAAGAAUUCCUUAAGACGACGGCAUGCCUAAAACCUAAUAACACUAAUAUGAUUACGUGACAAACUGCCUUAUAAUUCAUACCUCGUUUCUAACCCGCCGUGGUUGCUCAGUAGCUAUGGUGUUGGGCUGCUGAACACGAGGCGCAGGAUCGAAUACCGGCCGCGGCGGCCGCAUUUCGAUGGGGGCGAAAUGUGAGAACACCUGUGUACUUAGAUUUAGGUGCACGUUAAAGAAUUUCCGGAGUCCUCCACUACGGCGUACCUUAUUAUCAGAAAGUGGUUUUGGCACGUUAAACCCCAUAAUUUAAUUUGUACCUCGUUUCUCAACUAACUACCAUUUACAAGCACUUCAUUUCAACUUACCAUCCAUUUUGAAUGAAUUUCAAGAAAUAACAACUGCUACACAUGGACAGCUGCACCGACAGUUUGUAUCUAUGUCAUCAACAAUAGCUUUCACAUUGCAAUUAUUCGAAUGACACAUUUAUGCCUGAUUUACAUACUCUUCUUACCUUGUUUGUUUUAGUAUUUGUCUGUCUUGUCAACUAUUUCGCGAUACGUCUCUUGAAUUUCUAUUGUAUUCUUCAUAGUAAAUUUACCUAACUUAAAUUACCUGCUUAUUUUCAGUUAUAGAGACUCUUUGUACAUUUAGAAUGUGUAUACCAAAAUGAUCAAUUUAUUUAUAUUGUGUUAAACAUAUGGUGUGCUUCAUAUUGUAAGUCUAUUGUCUUAGUAAGUACCAACAUCCAUUUUAAUUACGACAUUUUUGCUUUCAUUUUUAGGCUGUAUAAUUGUACAAUAAACAUUGCAUGCUGCCAAUGUAAGGGUCUUCAGGAACGCAGUCAAGCUGCCUAGAGCAGCUUUUUAGCCCUAAGACCAUUCAGAUUUUCUGUAUAGAGAUUGAUCGAUUGAUUGAAUAAACACAGUUGCCCAUUGCAAGAUGAUAAAGAUGAGAGUCCAUUUCUUACACACAAUUACUUUUACACUUUUACUAACGGAUGCACACUGUUGAUGGAUUUUGUAUUGCCGCAUGCUUUUUCUUUCCUGUUUCAUCUAAAGGCUACUAUCAAAAUUCUGUUGUGAAGCAAGUUGCACUUCUGAUAUUAUGGGCUUACACAUUUGGAAUGUUGUUUUAUCUAGAAAGACCGGCCAGCCAUGCUCAACUUUUGACACACAGACUGAUGUUUGUCGUAUCUUCUAUUAUUUACGUGGCCGCUUCAUAAAAAGCAAUAUAAAAAGCAGUUCGAUGCAAGCAUCAUCAUUUGGUUCGACGACCACUGACUGUGCUAGUUGCUAUCACUGCCACUGAGUUGUACCUUAUUUUAAGAAGGCCCAAAUUUGCUGAAUAAAUUUGUUUACAAUUUA